ensembl:snRNA U2 U2 spliceosomal RNA
AUCACUUCUCGGCCUUUUGGCUAAGAUCAAGUGUAAAAUCACCUUUGGAGAGGUUUAAAACAAACUCCAGGGCCUCUGGAGGCCCUCAUUCAGUAGGUUUGGGGCAGGGAGAGCCUUGACAUGUUUAAUGAGCCUUGGGAUGAUUCUGAUGUUUCCUUGCACCAGUGGAGCAGGAGUUACUCUUC